rnacentral:rRNA from 1 species
UACGUAGGGUGGAAGCGUUAUCCGGAAUGAUUGGGCGUAAGGCGUCUGUAGGUGGCUUUUUAAGUCCGCCGUCAAAUCCCAGGGCUCAACCCUGGACAGGCGGUGGAAACUGCCAAGCUGGAGUACGGUAGGGGCAGAGGGAAUUUCCGGUGGAGCGGUGAAAUGCGUAGAGAUCGGAAAGAACACCAACGGUGAAAACACUCUGCUGGGCCGACACUGACACUGAGAGACGAAAGCUAGGGGAGCGAAUGGG